GAAUGCUAGUUGAGCGCUUCCAGCCAACACGGGAGCGCAGCGCACAGCUNAGNAACACGUGGCUAAUCUGCCCUUGGGACCGGAACACCCCCGGGAAACUGGGGCUAAUUCUCGAUAGGUAAAGAACUCUGGAAUGAGUCUUUGCUUAAAAGACGUUUACGUUAUGCUCGUAGACGUCGCCCAAGGAUGAGGCCGCGACCGAUCAGGUUGUUGGUGAGGUAAUGGCUCACCAAGCCUUUUACCGGUGCGGGCCGUGAGAGCGGGAGCCCGGAGAUGGGCACUGAGACAAGGGCCCAGGCCCUACGGGGCGCAGCAGUCGCGAAAACUUUGCAAUACACGAAAGUGUGACAGGGCUAUCCCGAGUGCCAUCCGCUGAGGAAGGCUUUUACCCAGUCUAGAACGCUGGGGGAAUAAGGAGAGGGCAAGUCUGGUGUCAGCCGCCGCGGUAAUACCAGCUCUCCGAGUGGUGUGGAUGUUUAUUGGGCCUAAAGCAUCCGUAGCUGGCUGAGUUAGUCCCUUGUUAAAUCCACCGAAUUAAUCGUUGGAUUGCGGGGGAUACUGCUCGGCUAGGGGACGAGAGAGGCAGACGGUAUUUCCGGGGUAGGGGUGAAAUCCUAUAAUCCCGGGAAGACCACCAGUGGCGAAGGCUGUCUGCUAGAACGCGCCCGACGGUGAGGGAUGAAAGCUGGGGGAGCGAACCGGAUUAGAUACCCGGGUAGUCCCAGCUGUAAACGAUGCAGGCUAGGUGUUUGGACGGCCACGUGCCGUUCUAGUGCCGCAGGGNAAGCUGUUAAGCCUGCCGCCUGGGGAGUACGAUCGCAAGAUUGAAA
rnacentral:rRNA from 1 species